GAUGAACGCUGGCGGCGUGCCUAAUACAUGCAAGUCGAGCGAACGGACGAGACGUUUGCUUCUUUGAUGUUAGCGGCGGACGGGUGAGUAACACGUGGAUACCCUACCUAUAAGACUGGGAUAACUUCGGGACACCGGCGCUAAUACCGGAUAAUCUUUUGAACCGCAUGGUGCAUGAGUGAAAGACGGUCUUGGUGUCACUUAUAGAUGGAUCUGAGCUGCUUUAGCUAGUUGGUAAGGUAACGGCUUACCAAGGCAACUAUGCAUAGCCGACCUGAGAGCGUGGUCGGCCACACUGGAACUUAGACACGCUCCAGACUCCUACGAGACGCAGCAGAAGGCAAUCUUCCGCAAUAGGCGAAAGCCUGACGGAACAACGCCACGUGAGUGAUAGAGGCCUUCGGAUCGUAAAACUGUGUUAUUAGGUAAGAACAUAUGUGUAAUUAACUGUACACAGCUUGACGGUACCUAAUCAGAAAGCCACGGCUAACUACGUG
rnacentral:rRNA from 1 species